rnacentral:lncRNA from 12 species
GUUUUCAAGCAUGACUGCACUCAUGGUCAUCAACAUGGAGGGGAACUGUGACAUCCCAGACUGACCUUCAGCUCAGAGUAUUGCAUCAUUUUUUUUUUUUUUUAAGCUUUGGAUCUUAAAUCGAGAAAAAGGUCACCAUCAGAGCUUAGAAUUUAUAAGGCUAAUCACAGAGAAGCCGAUCAGAUCUUCUGAAGUCUGUGAAUGACACCAGGCUCAGGAGGUCAGUCCUAUUGGGUGACGAUGAUCGGAUUUCGUGAGAAUCCGACACAAAGGACUCAGAGGCAGAUCAAACCACCGAAAGCUCAGACUGUUAGACCACAGGGGUACCUUCCUGCGCGGCCUGCGGACACCGGCCGCACUUCGCCAGUCGGGCAGUGGCACAGCUUACGUGCAAGCGGCCCCAGCGCAUGUCUCAUAGACAUGAAUACAGCUCCAUGCAAACUCCUCGGAAGAAGCUAUUCAUGUAAGUACAGGGGUGAUCCUGUUACCUUGAGUGAAGUCUGGAAUCAAUAUAUGUACAUGAGCAGCGUAUUAGGGCUCGCCAGAAAAACAUAA